rnacentral:lncRNA from 1 species
GUUCACAGGCUUUACACAAGCAGACACAGAGCAUUCCUCUUUCUUCUGUGAAGUUCACAUUCAGCAAGGCACGACCUUAAAUGAAAAAUCAACUAUGUGGGGCAGAACAAACUCCGAGAGCAUGGUGAAGACUUAGCAAGCAGCACUGACUGGAGAACGACUUAGCAGGAAGAAUGCAGAGCUAGAGCGGAUCAUGGCAACUAUGCAAUAAACAACUUGAAGAAUCAUUCCGUCAAGUGUGGGAACCAGAGUGGAAAGAUUGUCUUCAGCCUGCAGCCAACACCAGUCACCACCUAUCAGAGAAAUGCAUCCUGUGAGUACCACAUUCCAGCGUCUCUGGAAGACCUCCAUUUCCUCCCCAGGCUGGGAGAGGCUCAGGCACCUUGGCUCUCUUGGCAGAAAGGCUGUACCUGUGGCAUCCUUGGCCAGCCCACUCACGCCAAGGCAGUGUGUGCCCCACCCCAACCCAGCCAAGCCAUCUGCAAGAAGCAAUAAUCUCCAUCCCUCUGCUAGUUGGACUGUAGUUCUCAUAGGACUGGCCACAGCUGACAUUCCAGAAGCUGAGGGAAGAAAGAGCCUUAGAAGAUAAGUAAACACGUAAGACCUCGAUUCUCUGCAGGAAGAGGUCAUUACACCUCGGUGUGUUUUCUGUCAGGCAUUCAUGCAGUUGUUGCAUGUCCAAGGGCUGCUGGGAACACUUCAAAAACCCAGAGAAUCAAGCGCUACAAGGUAACAGUUGCUGUUAAUAAGGGGUACCAUAGCACUUUGUGCUCACCCUGCAGGAGCUGUGGAGCGUCACCACUCACUCACACCCCAGGGGAGGAACUUGGGACCGAGAAAAAUCUAGGAAUCACUGGGCAGCAAAAUAAAAAUGUCACCACACUGUAUAGAUGGCCUAUAAAAAGGAGCAGAGUGCGGAAGGAAGGAUGCAGGAGGCUGGCUUGACUGAUCGCUGGCAGAGGCUUUCCUAGCUGCAGCCUGCUGUUACCACCCACGGAUGUUCCUCCCGGGACAUCGCUGAGACAUAAGACACGUACAGAGCCCUUGUUAAUAAACAGACUUGGCACUACAGCACGGCUCUGCUAAGCCUCUCUGUGACUUUGAACAUGAAAGU